GACGAACGCUGGCGGCGUGCUUAACACAUGCAAGUCGAACGGAAAGGCCCUGCUUUUGUGGGGUGCUCGAGUGGCGAACGGGUGAGUAACACGUGAGUAACCUGCCCUUGACUUUGGGAUAACUUCAGGAAACUGGGGCUAAUACCGGAUAGGGGCUCCUGCUGCAUGGUGGGGGUUGGAAAGUUUCGGCGGUUGGGGAUGGACUCGCGGCUUAUCAGCUUGUUGGUGGGGUAGUGGCUUACCAAGGCUUUGACGGGUAGCCGGCCUGAGAGGGUGACCGGCCACAUUGGGACUGAGAUACGGCCCAGACUCCUACGGGAGGCAGCAGUGGGGAAUAUUGCACAAUGGGCGGAAGCCUGAUGCAGCAACGCCGCGUGCGGGAUGACGGCCUUCGGGUUGUAAACCGCUUUCGCCUGUGACGAAGCGUGAGUGACGGUAAUGGGUAAAGAAGCACCGGCUAACUACGUGCCAGCAGCCGCGGUGAUACGUAGGGUGCGAGCGUUGUCCGGAUUUAUUGGGCGUAAAGGGCUCGUAGGUGGUUGAUCGCGUCGGAAGUGUAAUCUUGGGGCUUAACCCUGAGCGUGCUUUCGAUACGGGUUGACUUGAGGAAGGCAGGGGAGAAUGGAAUUCCUGGUGGAGCGGUGGAAUGCGCAGAUAUCAGGAGGAACACCAGUGGCGAAGGCGGUUCUCUGGGCCUUUCCUGACGCUGAGGAGCGAAAGCGUGGGGAGCGAACAGGCUUAGAUACCCUGGUAGUCCACGCUGUAAACGGUGGGUACUAGGUGUGGGGUCCAUUCCACGGGUUCCGUGCCGUAGCUAACGCUUUAAGUACCCCGCCUGGGGAGUACGGCCGCAAGGCUAAAACUCAAAGGAAUUGACGGGGCCCCGCACAAGCGGCGGAGCAUGCGGAUUAAUUCGAUGCAACGCGUAGAACCUUACCUGGGUUUGACAUGGAUCGGGAGUGCUCAGAGAUGGGUGUGCCUCUUUUGGGGUCGGUUCACAGGUGGUGCAUGGCUGUCGUCAGCUCGUGUCGUGAGAUGUUGGGUUAAGUCCCGCAACGAGCGCAACCCUUGUUCACUGUUGCCAGCACGUUAUGGUGGGGACUCAGUGGAGACCGCCGGGGUCAACUCGGAGGAAGGUGGGGAUGACGUCAAGUCAUCAUGCCCCUUAUGUCCAGGGCUUCACGCAUGCUACAAUGGCUGGUACAGAGAGUGGCGAGCCUGUGAGGGUGAGCGAAUCUCGGAAAGCCGGUCUCAGUUCGGAUUGGGGUCUGCAACUCGACCUCAUGAAGUCGGAGUCGCUAGUAAUCGCAGAUCAGCAACGCUGCGGUGAAUACGUUCCCGGGGCU
rnacentral:rRNA from 1 species